GUGCGAAUAACUGUGGUUACCUCUCUGAGUUGAAAUGGCAUGAGAUGACAAGAUUUAAUUACACUAAAUACAAGUAAUUUUAACCUUGUUAAGAGCCUACAUGAAAGAUAUAAUAUACAUUGGGACAGUGUAGCAAGUGUAUUUCCAUCAAAGAAGCAUCAAGACUCAAGAAUAUCCUUGACCUUUAUGAACAGAAUGACACUUUUGCCCUCUCCAACUUCUCAUUGUAUAAAUGGCAAAGAGUAAAGAAGAGAAAAGCACCAAGUCUUGUUUUGCUGCUAAUGAAAAGCCUUCUGCCAUAGAAGACAUAUUUGCUGCCUCAGUGGGCCGGUGGCCUUCCUCUAAAUCCAUUGUUGAAGGAUCCUCUUCCAGACUGCUCCUAGCUGGUGGGCAGGAUUAUUUUUUUU